rnacentral:rRNA from 1 species
CCUACGGGGGGCAGCAGUGGGGAAUAUUGCACAAUGGGGGAAACUCUGAAGCAGCGAAGCCGCGUGCGUGAAGAAGUAUCUAGGUAUGUAAAGCUCUAUCUGCAGGGAAGAAAAUGACGGUACCUGAUUAAGAAGCACAGGCUCAUGACGUGACAGCAGCCGCGGUAAUACGUAGGGGGCCAGCGUUAUCCGGCUUUACUGGGUGUAAAGGGAGCUUAGACGGCAGCGCAAGUCUGGAGUUAAAUGCCAGGGGUUAACCCCGGUACCGCUAUUGAAACUGGGUCGCUAGAGUGGAGGAGAGGUAAGCGGAAUGCGUGGUGUAGCGGUGAAAGGCAUAGAUAUCAGGAGGAACACCAGUGGCGAAGGCGGCUUACUGGAUUGUAACUGACGUUGAGGCACGAAAGCGUGGGGAGCGAACAGGAUUAGAUACCCGGGUAGUC